rnacentral:piRNA from 1 species
UCCACUAGCCCUUUCUCUGUGAGUCACGUG